rnacentral:lncRNA from 1 species
AACAAACGCAUCUUUUUGUCCAGCGUUUCUGUCAGGAAACGGGUUUGUCCUCCACUGACAGCAUCCUGGAGCACUUCCACUGCAGGCAGCGGCUGCCUCCUGAGGAGGGGUCGGUUGUGGCUCAUAGCGAAUAACGGGUUACAUCUACAUGAGAGAGAAACAGACAUGGCGAACUACAUUAAAGCAACAUUAGUUAGGCUACAAGGACUUGAGUUAGCACAGAACUGUGAUCCUGAUUAAGAGAAUUUCCCAUUACUGAACAUCCUCAAGCAGCUGGAAAAGGUAAUUUUGGGGUAAGAAGGAACUGCAGCACAAAUAAAGUCCUAGCUCAUUAAGUUUAAGACUUACAUCUGUGAGAUAUUCACCUUAAGAUUAAUCUUCUGUGCUGCCUCCCUUGGGUAGGAGUUACAGCCACAGGCUUCUGGCAAACAGUUUGUGCCUGCAUAGGUUGCCAUACUGAUCACUGCAGAGCUUAGUGUGAUAGGCUCUCUUCC